ACCUGGCUAAUUUCUUAAAAAAUAUUUUUUCCCAAUCUCGUCAGAUCUCGGAAGCAAAGCAGGGUCGGGCCUGGUUAGUACUUGGAUGGGAGACUGUCUGGGAAUACCAGGUGCCGUAGGCU
rnacentral:rRNA from 1 species